UCACAGGCUCUGGCUUUGAUUGAGCUUUAUAAUGCUCCUGAGGGACGAUAUAAACAAGAUGUGUACUUGCUGCCUAAAAAAAUGGAUGAAUAUGUUGCCAGCUUGCACCUGCCUUCAUUUGAUGCUCAUCUGACAGAACUAUCAGAUGAUCAAGCGAAAUAUCUGGGACUCAAUAAAAACGGGCCCUUCAAACCAAACUAUUAUAGGUACUGAUGGACCAUAAUCCUGAAGGACCAGACUACGUAAUCUACACAAGAGCUUUAGCAAGAAUAUUUUUAAAGAACAUAUUUUGUGUUAGUUCUAAAAUGUUUUUUUCUUUUAUUCAUGUGAUUUUAUUGUCUGCUCUCAUUCUUUUAAUAUUCUCAGUCUUUUUGUCUGAUAUUGCAGACAACCUGGGAUUUCCCUGCUGCAUCACCCCUAAAAUUAUUGUGGUUUCAGCUCCUAGCUCUGCUACUAUGGAGUGGAUUCCCUUUGGUGAUGUGACACAUUCAUUUCCUGUGGUGAUUUUAUUUUUUUUUUAAUUUAAAACUUUCCAGGGCACCUUAGUUGCAGUUGGCAGAUCUGCAAAAUAUUGAGAGUACUAUUUUUUUUCCUGUGGAAUUAUUUGCAAAUUCUAAAUUGCCUUAAUGAGCCCCAGUUCAUUAGCUGCCAGAUUAGUGCUCCUUUUCCUGUAUGGAAACAGAGUUGACACCUUAUGGCCAGUUAGGUUAUAGGUGUAUAUUCAGCAAAUGCCUAAUCCCUGAUCCUAACUGUGUUACAUUGAGAAAGGUCCUAUUGAUUUCAGUGGGACAAUCUCAAAUAUUGUUUAGAAUCCAUUACACUAUUUUUCCUACAUGAAACAUGUAGCUGCAUGCUUGGGUUCACUAAGCCAGGGUGAGACUGAUGUAGCCCUCCAGAUGUUGUAUUGAAAUUCCCAGCAUUCCUCACCACUGGCUUUGUUGGCUAGAACCACUGGAAUUUUUAGUCCAAGUACAUCUGGAGAACCACAUAAUUCCCCACCCUAUAAUAAAUCUAGCUAGAUUUUAUCUUUCUAAGUUGCUAGGUGCUAAUAUGAAUUGAAAUGGAUAUUGCCUAUCCACUAUCUUCAUCACUCCAUAGUUCCUAGAUUUUAAGGGGGGGAGGUUUCUUGCUUCUUUAAGUGAAGACAUCCUAAAACCAUAGUUAAAGUGAACUGGGUGAGAAUUCCUUUUGCUUCUAGUUUGUAGAUGUUUUAAGACAGAAGAUUUCAGUUAAUGUAUUGCAGAAUUCUUAGGGGCCACUAAGAACCAGAUCAGCCCUUUUGAGCUGAAAUAUCUCUUGUAUUUUAUUCCUUCAUUUGCACAGUACAGGAGAUGCUUGAAUGAUGUAGCAGCUUAGCUUCUCAAAUCUCAAAGGAAUUAUUCAUGAUGUCAAACACUUUCCUCCAUCUUCAGGCUCCAUUUGUAGCAAAUGAAUAUUGAAGGUGGACUCCCAUCCCAUUGGCACUGCUAUUUUAAGUGCUCUGUUGUUUUGUCUUAUUUCAGUUAGGCUAGAAUAUCCAGUUAACAUAUGAACUCUCUUAUGAGAUUACAGUGCAGCCCAGUUUAUAUUUUAGUGCCAUGAAAAUGAGGGGAAGCUUCAGCAUGGGUAAGGAAGAGAUAUAUUAAGCUAAAGGUAAUUCAGGCAAAUAUUGCCUGGGUCUGAUCACUUCAGACUUGUGUUGAAGUCUCAAGGGGCAGUGACAAAAAGCCAGAAACUACUGUGAAUCAUAGUGAACACAUGACCAACCUUGAACUUUCUGCCUUUUUAUGUAACCUUUGCAGAAGACAUGAUGUAAAUACAGAAGAUGACAUUCCUAAUUCCAUCUUCAUAAAAUCUGUCCUAUUAUGUAGGUUGUUACCCUUCCUGGUAGCCCUUCACUAGGGAAAAUAAAUUAGCUGUGAUGAGGAGCCUGAGCCACCAAACCUUAGCACAAGCAUCAUAAUUGUUCUCUGAUCCGAAAAAGACCUUUCUGUGGUAUCUUUUGUAUCAGGUGGGUGUUUGGUUUCUCUUUGUCAGAUACGCGGAGACAACCAAGCCUUGCAAAAUGGUGCUGGCCAUUGACUGACUUGAAUCCAGGAGUUCCCUAUGCCUCUAGUAACUUGUAUCCAUCCCAUUUUCCAGAAUCUGGUUUUAGGUUUGGCCAGCCCUAAUAGAUGCUGUUCUUUCAACUUGAUAAAAUAUCUCAUGCACUCUUCACAUUUCCCAGUUCUGAAACCACAUGUUCUGAUCCUAAAAUUGUCUUGGGUCCUUCUAAGCCAAGGAGAGUACAUUUCCAAAACUUCUCCAUGAAACUCAGGAGGACCUCCUCAUUCCAUUUGUCUGCCUCUGUGCUGCAGUAUCAAUAGAUAACUUAGCUAAGGGCUCCAUCUCUGUAUAAGCCAUGGAAUAAAUUCUCAUGCCUGGCAACACCUCAGUUUGGUUGGAGGGAGCAUGUUAUAGCAUCAACCCAGGUGGGAAUAGGUUUAUUUUGUAUAUGAAUGAUUUUUAAUGAAUGCAAUAUUAAUUCUUGCAGAUGAGCAAUAAAUCAUUACGCAAAGUCUAAAUAAAAUGAUUAGAAAAUUA